GUGCCAGCCGCCGCGGUAACACGGGGGGAGCAAGCGUUGUUCGGAAUCACUGGGCGUAAAGGGCGUCUAGGCGGUCAGAUAAGUGGGAUGUGAAAUGCCCCGGCUCACCCGGGGACCGGCAUCCCAAACUGUCUGGCUUGAGUAUGGGAGAGGAUGUGGGAAUUCCUGGUGUAGCGGUGAAAUGCGUAGAUAUCAGGAGGAACACCGGUGGCGAAGGCGCACAUCUGGCCCAAUACUGACGCUAAAGCGCGAAAGCUAGGGGAGCAAACGGGAUUAGAAACCCUCGUAGUCC
rnacentral:rRNA from 1 species